rnacentral:tRNA from 1 species
GAGAUCGUAGCUCAGCUGGAUAGAGCAUCAGAUUGCGGAUCUGAGGGUCAGAGGUUCAAAUCCUCCCGGUCUCA